rnacentral:miRNA from 1 species
UUUCGCCAAUCUACUGCAAAG